AGAACGAACGCUGGCGGCAUGCCUAAUACAUGCAAGUCGAACGAACACUUCGGUGUUAGUGGCGCACGGGUGCGUAGCGCGUGGGAAUCUGCCCCUUGGUUCGGAAUAACAGUUGGAAACGACUGCUAAUACCGGAUGAUGAACGAAAGUCCAAAGUAUUUAUCGCCAAGGGAUGAGCCCGCGUAGGAUUAGCUAGUUGGUGAGGUAAAGGCUACACCAAGGCAACGAUCCUUAGCUGGUCUGAGAGGAUGAUCAGCCACACUGGGACUGAGACACGGCCCAGACUCCGUACGGGAGGCAGCAGUAGGAAUAGUGACAGUGGACGAAGCUGAUCC
rnacentral:rRNA from 1 species